rnacentral:ncRNA from 1 species
AAUAAGCUGCCGCCGGGUAGCUGCAAAACGCCGGAAUUCAUGUCGUUAGGCCUUAGAAGACAUGGAUUCCGGCGUGAUUCUUAU